rnacentral:tRNA from 1 species
AUCCGUAUAGCUCAAUGGAAUUAGAGCAUCGCUCUUCUAAAGCGGUUGUUUUCGGUUCGAGUCCGAAUACGGAUG